AGUGAGAAGGGAACACACACAAAUACACCGUGAACACUAGCUUUACCGGUUCUUAAACUAAAAUCAUAAAAUCAUCUUUUUAUGCAUUACACAAGCAUUACACAGUCACAAAUGAACAAACAAAUUCUUAAAGAACUAUUUGGACCUCAAGGAAGAGUUUUGAAAUUCAAACCAUUGUGGCUUGCUCAUACAAACCAAGGGUUUGGAAAAGAUGUGUGUGAUGAGUGGAUGUUUCAAAACAGGAGGAGUGUUCUUCAGGCUUGUGACAGACUGGUGGAGCAAACACAGAACUCCAGGAGCACUUUAAAGAGCACACAUCUUCCCAAACUAUCAGAAUGGAAACAUAAAGAACCAGAAUGAGUUUCAGGGUGAGCCUGUUGUUCCUGACCAUGACUGUGGUCGUAGUCUGUGGUCAGAAGAGACGUCUUGCAAAAGAGGAGUGGAACUACCGUGAUGGCUCUGAGAGAGUAAGCAUGCGAGGAGUUGCAAAUCUGACACAAGUGCUUGAUGUCUGGAGGUUUGAUAUCCUGAAGAAAGUAAAAGGACUCCUGCAGAACGACCAUCAGUCCUUGCUGCCUGACUACUCCAGGAUCCAACCUCUCUCUGAGGCGCUGGAUGACUUGUAGAAAGAGUUCAAUGCCCUGAAAACUCAUCUUGGUGAGCUAACUGAAAAGUUUGGACCAUUGGAAACCUUUGUAGAUGAACUGAAGGCCAAGAGGACCAGUGUGAGCACAGACUCUGCUAACCCGGUGCGCAGACGCGUCAUUAAGAACAGGGGUCCUGUUGUCUCCUAAAUGGCCGUGUUUAGAUCUCUCCUAAUAUCAAACCACUAUGAUAUAGAUUCCUUUAGCAGCCUUUCCUUGAGCUUCUCACUCUUUUGGCAUCUUGUUGCUGUAUUUUGCUGGGACACCAGUAAUAAACAAUAUGCUGAACAUUGUGAAUGUCCCUCGAUGUGGUAUUUUAAAGCAGCAAUUUAAAAGUGACAGCCGUUCAUUGUUAACAAUGCAAAGAAAUAAUGGACACAGCUAUAACAACAGGUCUUAAUUAUAUAAAUAUUAAAUAUUCAAAUAUGCAUGACUGUCAAUGAAUUGAUAUGUGGUAUUUGCAGCUCUCAAAGUGAUCAAUGGCUUGUGCAGGUGUAAACUGAUUAUGAAAAAGCGGAGAACAUUUCAGGAACACAAUAAAUUGUGUUUUUCAUUGUGUAUUUAUGCUUAUAAUCGGAUGAGCAUGGUAAUUAGAUGCUGAAUAUCUCUUGGCUCAUAUUUGCCAUCUCAUGCAAGAUAUAAUAAAUUCAGUCUGUUGUAUUCACUUCUAAGUUUCAGUGUGUUUGCUAACUUUUGGCAUAAUUCGUUUUGUGCAUAAUAGUUUGGUGUUUGUUUCAUCAUUCAUUCAAAAUGUACUCCCUCAUUAAAAUACAUAUACAAAUAAGACACAGAACCUUUUAACUCUGUCACAGUUUCAAUCUGAGCUCCACUGUCAACAGCAGAACUGCAUAUGCAGGGGCCCAUACAAGUAUCAGGACACUUUUGGACAUCAAAGCCAAAUACAAUUCAUGUUUUU